rnacentral:rRNA from 1 species
GACGUAGGGUGCGAGCGUUGUUCGGAUUUACUGGGCGUAAAGGGCGCGUAGGCGGUCAGCACAAGUCAGUUGUGAAAUCUCCGGGCUUAACUCGGAAAGGUCAACUGAUACUGUGCGACUAGAGUGCAGAAGGGGCAACUGGAAUUCUCGGUGUAGCGGUGAAAUGCGUAGAUAUCGAGAGGAACACCUGCGGCGAAGGCGGGUUGCUGGGCUGACACUGACGCUGAUGCGCGAAAGCCAGGGGAGCGAACGGG